UACGUAGGGUGCAAGCGUUGUCCGGAAUUAUUGGGCGUAAAGGGUGCGUAGGCGGUUUGGUAAGUCUGAUGUGAAAUCUAUGGGCUCAACUCAUAGUCUGCAUCGGAAACUGCCGGGCUUGAGUAUGGGAGAGGUGAGUGGAAUUCCUGGUGUAGCGGUGAAAUGCGUAGAUAUCAGGAGGAACACCUGUGGCGAAAGCGGCUCACUGGACCAUAACUGACGCUGAUGCACGAAAGCUAGGGGAGCAAACAGG
rnacentral:rRNA from 1 species